rnacentral:rRNA from 1 species
UCCUACGGGAGGCAGCAGUGGGGAAUAUUGCACAAUGGGCGAAAGCCUGAUGCAGCAACGCCGCGUGAGUGAUGACGGUCUUCGGAUUGUAAAGCUCUGUCUUUUGGGACGAUAAUGACGGUACCAAAGGAGGAAGCCACGGCUAACUACGUGCCAGCAGCCGCGGUAAUACGUAGGUGGCAAGCGUUGUCCGGAUUUACUGGGCGUAAAGGAUGUGUAGGCGGAUACUUAAGUGAGAUGUGAAAGCCCCGGGCUUAACCUGGGGACUGCAUUUCAAACUGGGUGUCUAGAGUGCAGGAGAGGAAAGCGGAAUUCCUAGUGUAGCGGUGAAAUGCGUAGAGAUUAGGAAGAACAUCAGUGGCGAAGGCGGCUUUCUGGACUGUAACUGACGCUGAGGCAUGAAAGCGUGGGGAGCAAACAGGAUUAGAUACCCUGGUAGUCCACGCCGUAAACGAUGAGUACUAGGUGUAGGAGGUAUCGACUCCUUCUGUGCCGCAGUUAACACAAUAAGUACUCCGCCUGGGAAGUACGGUCGCAAGAUUAAAACUCAAAUGAAUUGACGGAAC